GACGAACGCUGGCGGCGUGCUUAACACAUGCAAGUCGAACGGAAAGGCCCUGCUUUUGUGGGGUGCUCGAGUGGCGAACGGGUGAGUAACACGUGAGUAACCUGCCCUUGACUUUGGGAUAACUUCAGGAAACUGGGGCUAAUACCGGAUAGGAGCUCCUGCUGCAUGGUGGGGGUUGGAAAGUUUCGGCGGUUGGGGAUGGACUCGCGGCUUAUCAGCUUGUUGGUGGGGUAGUGGCUUACCAAGGCUUUGACGGGUAGCCGGCCUGAGAGGGUGACCGGCCACAUGGGGACUGAGAUGCGGCCCAGCCUCCUCCGGGGGGGAGCAGGGGGGAAUUUUGCACAAGGGGCGGAGGCCGGAUGCCGCACCGCCGCGUGGGGGAUGCCGGCUUUCGGUUUUAAACCCCCUUCCGCCGGUGACGAAGCGUGAGUGAGGGUAAUGUGUAAAGAGCCCCCGCCUACCUACGUG
rnacentral:rRNA from 1 species